UAUUAGUUGAGGGUAUACCUAUUCAGCAGAAAUUCCAAAUAGUUUCAAAUGAUUUCCCUAUUCCAACGCAGUCUUCAAAAUUGCCUUUGCUUUGUGUUGCUUUGAUUCAUAAAACAAGGAGAAAGAGAAUGCACGAUCCUUAUUUUUCAAUCCAACAAGGCUUUGAUUUGAUCCUAUCAUUUCGAUAAAAUACUGCAUCAUUUAUCUGAAUCAUUUGUGGCUCAUUCAACAAAGUGGACUAUGCUGUAGAUUGGUAACAAUCAUUGUUAGUAGGCCUAGCAACCAAUACUGUUGUCUUUUCAUCGCGAUUUUACGAAGAGUGCGUCAAUGGUACAAGUGAAAUUUCUCGAAAUGGUCUUGUGUGAACAGAGUGAUUCUUCUAAAACAUCUAAAUAUUCGAAAUUCAUCUAGGGUUGUUGCUCUACGCUGUCCACAAUCAGUUUCAGUUGUCUUUUCUGAAGAAAAAGGCAUGAUGUUUUAUCAAAUAUGCUGCUCAUGACAUUGGCGUUAUGCUCGAACAUGAAAACCACCUCUGUAGCACUGUUGGAGUCAUGGAUCAUUUCACGAAGCCCAAAUAUUCUUGCCACGUUCAGAACAAGUUUCUAUGGAACGGACCCUGAUCUUCGACACACUGCAAUUCAAUUCUUCACAAUAUGUUAUUCUAUGUUUUGAGCCAAUAAAAAAUCUCUUAAAAUAUCUACCACAUGAAAAAUCGUUGAAAAAGUUGUUUUGAAAUAUGCGCUUUUAUUCUCACCCCAUAUUGCACAAACACAAUUUUGAUACUGCCCAGAUCGUCUAGUUGGAC